rnacentral:misc_RNA from 1 species
GAUGAAGAACGCAGCGAAAUGCGAUAAGUAAUGUGAAUUGCAGAAUUCAGUGAACCAUCGAAUCUUUGAACGCACAUUGCGCCCGCUGGAACUCCGGCGGGCACGCCUGUCCGAGCGUCAUUUCAACCCUCAGGCCCCCCUUCGCGGGCGGGCCUGGUGUUGGGGCCCGGCCGCUACCCUGCGGCCGUCCCCUAAAUUCAGUGGCGGCCUCGCCGUGAUCCCUUGCGUAGUAAUGCACCUCGCACCGGAGAGCGCCGUGGCCACGCCGUAAAACCCCCAAUUUUCAAUGGUUGACCUCGGAUCAGGUGGGAAUACCCGCUGAACUUAAGCAUAUCAAUAAGCGGAGGA